UACGGAGGGUCCAAGCGUUAUCCGGAUUCAUUGGGUUUAAAGGGUGCGUAGGCGGCCUCGUAAGUCAGUAGUGAAAGUCAUAGGCUCAACCUAUGAAGUGCUAUUGAAACUGCGGAGCUAGAAUUCUGAUGGAGUGGGCGGAAUGUGUUGUGUAGCGGUGAAAUGCAUAGAUAUAACACAGAACACCGAUCGCGAAGGCAGCUCACUAAGGAGCAAUUGACGCUAAUGCACGAAAGCGUGGGGAGCGAACAGG
rnacentral:rRNA from 1 species